GACGAACGCUGGCGGCGUGCCUAAUACAUGCAAGUAGAACGCUGAAGGAGGAGCUUGCUCUUCUGGAUGAGUUGCGAACGGGUGAGUAACGCGUAGGUAACCUGCCUGGUAGCGGGGGAUAACUAUUGGAAACGAUAGCUAAUACCGCAUAACAGUAGAUGUUGCAUGACAUUUGCUUAAAAGGUGCAAUUGCACCACUACCAGAUGGACCUGCGUUGUAUUAGCUAGUUGGUGGGGUUACGGCUCACCAAGGCGACGAUACAUAGCCGACCUGAGAGGGGGGACGGCCACCCUGGGACUUGGGCCCGGCCCAAGCCCCUUCGGGGGGCAGCAGUAGGGGAACUUCGGCCAUGGACGGAAGUCUGACCGAGCAACGCCGCGGGGGUGGAGGAGGUUUUCGGAUCGUAAAGCUCUGUUGUAAGGGAAGAACGAGUGUGAGAGUGGAAAGUUCACACUGUGACGGUAUCUUACCAGAAAGGGACGGCUAACUACGUG
rnacentral:rRNA from 1 species